ACAAUGGACGCAAGUCUGAUGGAGCAACGCCGCGUGAGUGAAGAAGGUCUUCGGAUCGUAAAGCUCUGUUGUUGGUGAAGAAGGAUAGAGGCAGUAACUGGUCUUUAUUUGACGGUAAUCAACCAGAAAGUCACGGCUAACUACGUGCCAGCAGCCGCGGUAAUACGUAGGUGGCAAGCGUUGUCCGGAUUUAUUGGGCGUAAAGCGAGCGCAGGCGGAAUGAUAAGUCUGAUGUGAAAGCCCACGGCUCAACCGUGGAACUGCAUCGGAAACUGUCAUUCUUGAGUGCAGAAGAGGAGAGUGGAACUCCAUGUGUAGCGGUGGAAUGCGUAGAUAUAUGGAAGAACACCAGUGGCGAAGGCGGCUCUCUGGUCUGCAACUGACGCUGAGGCUCGAAAGCAUGGGUAGCGAACAGGAUUAGAUACCCUGGUAGUCCAUGCCGUAAACGAUGAGCGCUAGGGUGUUGGGGACUUUCCGGUCUCAGUGCCGCAGCAAACGCAUUAAGCCCG
rnacentral:rRNA from 1 species